UUUUGUUAAUAAUUUAAAGUAGGGCCUGCCCACUGAGUAUUUAAAGGGCCGCAGUAUUUUGACUGUGCAAAGGUAGCAUAAUCAUUAGUUUUUUAAUUGAAAGCUUGUAUGAAUGGUUUGAUGAGAAAAUUACUUUCUAUAUUUUAUUUUUUAAAAACUUUAUUUUUAAGUUAAAAAGCUUAAAUAUCUUUAAUAGACGAGAAGACCCUAUAGAGUUUAAUUAUUUUAGAUUAUAUAUAAUAUUUAGAAUUAAAUUAUUUUUAUAUUUAGAAUAAUUUGAUUGGGGUGAUUGAAAAAUUAAAAAAACUUUUUUUUUGUUAAAUACAUUGAUUUAUGAAUUAAUGAUCCAUAUUAAUGAUUAUAAGAAUUAAUUACCUUAGGGAUAACAGCGUUAUUUUUUUUUAGAGUUCAAAUCGAAAAAAGAGAUUGCGACCUCGAUGUUGGAUUAAAGUUAAUUUUUGGUGUAGAAGCUAAAAUAUUUGGUCUGUUCGACCAUUGAAACUUUACA
rnacentral:rRNA from 1 species